rnacentral:rRNA from 1 species
GACGAACGCUGGCGGCGUGCUUAACACAUGCAAGUCGAACGGGAAGGCCCUGCUUUUGUGGGGUGCUCGGGUGGCGAACGGGGGAGUAACACGGGAGUAACCUGCCCUUGACUUUGGGAUAACUUCAGGAAACUGGGGCUAAUACCGGAGAGUAGCUCCUGCUCCGUGUUGGGGUGUGGAGGGUUUCUGCGGUUGGGGAUGGAUUCGCGGCUGAUCGGCUUGUUGGUGGGGUAGUGGCUUACCAGGGCUUUGACGGGUAGCGGGCCUGAGCGGGUGACCGGCCACAUUGGGACUGAGAUACGGACCAGACUCCUGCGGGAGGCAGCAGUGGGGAAUAUUGCAGAAUGGGCGGAAGCCUGAUGCAGCAACGCCGCGUGCGGGAUGACGGCCUUCGGGUUGUAAACCGAUUUCGCCUGUGACGAAGCGUGAUUGACGGUAAUGGGUAAAGAAGCACCGGCUAACUACGUG